UACAGAGGUCUCAAGCGUUGUUCGGAUUCAUUGGGCGUAAAGGGUGCGUAGGCGGCGCGGUAAGUCGGGUGUGAAAUCUUGGAGCUUAACUCCGAAACUGCAUUCGAUACUGCCGUGCUUGAGGACUGGAGAGGAGACUGGAAUUUACGGUGUAGCGGUGAAAUGCGUAGAUAUCGUAAGGAAGACCAGUGGCGAAGGCGGGUCUCUGGACAGUUCCUGACGCUGAGGCGCGAAAGCGUGGGGAGCAAACGGG
rnacentral:rRNA from 1 species